UACAGCGAAACUGCGAAUGGCUCAUUAAAUCAGUUAUCGUUUAUUUGAUAGUACCUUACUACUUGGAUAACCGUGGUAAUUCUAGAGCUAAUACAUGCUAAAAAUCCCGACUUCGGAAGGGAUGUAUUUAUUAGAUUAAAAACCAAUGCCCUUCGGGGCUCUUUGGUGAUUCAUAAUAACUUCUCGAAUCGCAUGGCCUUGCGCCGGCGAUGGUUCAUUCAAAUUUCUGCCCUAUCAACUUUCGAUGGCAGGGUCUUGGCCUGCCAUGGUUACAACGGGUAACGGAGGGUUAGGGCUCGACCCCGGAGAUGGAGCCUGAGAAAUGGCUACAACAUCCAAGGAAGGCAGCAGGCGCGCAAAUUACCCAAUCCCGAUACGGGGAGGUAGUGACAAUAAAUACUGAUACAGGGCUCUUUUGGGUCUUGUAAUUGGAAUGAGUACAAUUUAAAUCCCUUAACGAGGAACAAUUGGAGGGCAAGUCUGGUGCCAGCAGCCGCGGUAAUUCCAGCUCCAAUAGCGUAUAUUAAAGUUGUUGAGGUUAAAAAGCUCGUAGUUGAACCUUGGGCCUGGCUGGCCGGUCCGCCUCACCGCGUGCACUGGUUCGGCCGGGCCUUUCCCUCUGGGGAACCUCAUGCCCUUCACUGGGUGUGAUGGGGAACCAGGACUUUUACUGUGAAAAAAUUAGAGUGUUCAAAGCAGGCCUAUGCUCGAAUACAUUAGCAUGGAAUAAUAGAAUAGGACGUGUGGUUCUAUUUUGUUGGUUUCUAGGACCGCCGUAAUGAUUAAUAGGGACAGUCGGGGGCAUCAGUAUUCAAUUGUCAGAGGUGAAAUUCUUGGAUUUAUUGAAGACUAACUACUGCGAAAGCAUUUGCCAAGGAUGUUUUCAUUAAUCAGGAACGAAAGUUAGGGGAUCGAAGACGAUCAGAUACCGUCGUAGUCUUAACCAUAAACUAUGCCGACUAGGGAUCGGACGAUGUUAUUUUUUGACUCGUUCGGCACCUU
rnacentral:rRNA from 1 species